rnacentral:rRNA from 1 species
UAGGGAAUCUUGCCACAAUGGACGCAAGUCUGAUGGAGCAACGCCGCGUGAGUGAAGAAGGUCUUCGGAUCGUAAAGCUCUGUUGUUGGUGAAGAAGGAUAGAGGCAGUAACUGGNCUUUAUUUGACGGUAAUCAACCAGAAAGUCACGGCUAACUACGUGCCAGCAGCCGCGGUAAUACGUAGGUGGCAAGCGUUGUCCGGAUUUAUUGGGCGUAAAGCGAGCGCAGGCGGAAUGAUAAGUCUGAUGUGAAAGCCCACGGCUCAACCGUGGAACUGCAUCGGAAAGCUGUCAUUCUUGAGUGCAGAAGAGGAGAGUGGAACUCCAUGUGUAGCGGUGGAAUGCGUAGAUAUAUGGAAGAACACCAGUGGCGAAGGCGGCUCUCUGGUCUGCAACUGACGCUGAGGCUCGAAAGCAUGGGUAGCG